rnacentral:rRNA from 1 species
CCUACGGGUGGCAGCAGUGAGGAAUAUUGGUCAAUGGACGAGAGUCUGAACCAGCCAAGUAGCGUGAAGGAUGACUGCCCUAUGGGUUGUAAACUUCUUUUGUAAAGGAAUAAAACGAGGCAAGUGUGCCUGUUUGCAUGUACUUUAUGAAUAAGAAUCGGCUAACUCCGUGCCAGCAGCCGCGGUAAUACGGAGGAUCCGAGCUUUAUCCGGAUGUAGUGGGUUUAAAGGGAGCGUAGAUGGGUUGUUAAGUCAGUUGUGAAAGUUUGCGGCUCAACCGUAAAAUUGCAAUUGAUACUGGCAGUCUUGAGUACAGUUGAGGUAGGCGGAAUUCGUGGUGUAGCGGUGAAAUGCUUAGAUAUCACGAAGAACCCCGAUUGCGAAGGCAGCUUACUAAACUGUGACUGACAUUGAUGCUCGAAAGUGUGGGUAUCAAACAGGAUUAGAUACCCUUGUAGUC